rnacentral:rRNA from 1 species
CAGUAGCCACGGUAAUACGUAGGUGGCAAGCGUUGUCCGGAAUUAUUGGGCGUAAAGCGCGCGCAGGCGGAUCAGUUAGUCUGUCUUAAAAGUUCGGGGCUUAACCCCGUGAUGGGAUGGAAACUGCUGAUCUAGAGUAUCGGAGAGGAAAGUGGAAUUCCUAGUGUAGCGGUGAAAUGCGUAGAUAUUAGGAAGAGCACCAGUGGCGAAGGCGAUUUUCUGGACGAAAACUGACGCUGAGGCGCGAAAGCCAGGGGAGCGAACGGGAUUAGAUACCCGAGUAGUCCCUGUCUCUUAUACA